rnacentral:lncRNA from 1 species
UUGGAGCUCUAGCUCACCUCUCUGGUGUUGUUCUCAUCUGAUUAAUCUAGUUCUUGUCAAUUCUUCUUGAACUUCUUGUUAGAUCUCGAAUCUGUAUUUCUGUGUCCGUGACACUUUUUAAGCAUUUAAAAGACUUGUAAAGACACUAGUGGUAGAAGUCUCACAACAAUUGGAUGGUCAGAUUGAGAAUUACAGCUUGCCAAGGCUCGUUGUCUAGGAUUAGGGUUUAAAAAAAUAAAUAAAUAAAAAUAAAAUAAAUAACAAAUAAAAAAUAACAAAAGAAUUUGUGCUUAGAAUAUCCAAAA